rnacentral:rRNA from 1 species
AGAUUGAACGCUAGCGGGAUGCUUUACACAUGCAAGUCGAACGGCAGCGCGGACUUCGGUCUGGCGGCGAGUGGCGAACGGGUGAGUAAUAUAUCGGAACGUGCCCAGUAGCGGGGGAUAACUACGCGAAAGCGUGGCUAAUACCGCAUAAGACCUUCGGGUGAAAGCCGGGGACCUUCGGGCCUGGCGCGGAUAGAUGAGCCGAUGUCGGAUUAGCUUGUUGGCGGGUAAAGGCCCACCAAGGCGACGAUCCGUAGCUGGUCUGAGAGGAUGAUCAGCACACUGGAACUGAGACACGGUCCAGACUCCUACGGGAGGCAGCAGUGGGGAAUAUUGGACAAUGGGCGCAAGCCUAGAGUCCAGCCAUACCGCGUGGGUAGAAGGAAGGCCUUCGGUUGUAAACCUCUUUCCAGCGAGGACGAAGCGACGAAGUGACGGUAC